UACGUAGGGUGCGAGCGUUAAUCGGAAUUACUGGGCGUAAAGUGUGCGCAGGCGGCUCCGCAAGUCGAGUGUGAAAUCCCCGAGCUUAACUUGGGAAUUGCGCUCGAAACUACGGAGCUGGAGUGUGGCAGAGGAAGGUGGAAUUCCAGGUGUAGCGGUGAAAUGCGUAGAUAUCUGGAGGAACACCGGUGGCGAAGGCGGCAUCCUGGACCAACACUGACACUGAGGAGCGAAAGCCAGGGGAGCAAACGGG
rnacentral:rRNA from 1 species